AAAGGGGACAACAAUAGUUACCAGCUGUGGAAAGAGCUUUGAACUGUAAAGAUAAAGAAUGCUGUGUAAGAGAGGAACAACAGGAAAAUGUCUUUUCAACCUCAGCUGAUCAGAUCAGGAUCUGUAAAGGUAAAACACUUUUAAAGGUUAAUAAAGGUAAAACCAGGUUGUGUUUUUUUCUCGUUGGCAGAAUUACUGAGAUACUGAUGGUAGGAAUUAUCAGCUAAUUUCUCUUCUAUUUAUACUGGUUUUGCUAAGGUGGAACAGUAUUACAAUGCUUUCACUGUGGCUAUGGCUAAUUCAGAAAAGGAAAUUCAGGCCCUUUAUCAUAACUGCCCUUUUUAAAAGCCCCAGUGAACACUUCUCUCAGCUACCACAAAAAAUAGGUAUCACCCCAAGUAUCUGUCAGUCCACUUACACUAAUAAAGAGGUAAGGUACCAGGUUUUCAUUUGCUAAAAAACCCUAUAAAUCAGGCCUUUUAGCUGUGAUUCAGAAUUUGUUCUUAAGCUCUUUUUGACAUGUGAAUUGAGGUGUGUUGACCUCUACUUUUUAGUGAGGAAAUUCUGGGCAAUACUUGGGCUAACAGGAGAUCCUAGUGACAAAGAACCAGCAGAGCAACACUCCCCUGCAACAUGGGGAAGAAUGAUGUGCCUCUAUGGCAGCACCUCCUAAGCCUUAAUUAAAAGCCUUAAUUAAGAGAAGCUAUUCUCAGCUUAUUCUCAGAAGGACCUGGGAGUUCUGGUGGGCAGCAAGUUGCCCACAGGCCAGCAGUGUGCCCUGGUGGCCAAGAAGGCCAAUGGGAUCCUGGGGUGCAUGAGAAGGAACCUCUACUCUGCCCUGGUGAGGCCACAUCUGGAAUGCUGUGUCCAGUUCUGGGCUCCCCAGUUCAGGAGAGGCAGGGAACUAAUGGAGAGGGUCCAGUGGAGGGCUCUGAAGGUCCAGUGAAGGGGGAAAUGGAGCAUCUCCCUUCUGAGGAAAGGCUGAGAGAGCUGGGUCUGCUUAGCCUGGAGAAGAGAUGACAGAGAGGGGAUCUUAUCAAUGUCUACAAAUAUCCAAUUAGUUUACAAUUAGUAGCCCACUUUUAAGACGAGUUAAUUUUUUAAUAGGAACCCAGACAGUUUUGUUAGUAGUUCAAUAACUAAAGGUGAAAAUCUUGCUCUAAAAAUCAUUGUUGCUUAACUUUUUGUUUGGGAAAUCUCCCAAUCUGUUACCCUAUGGAUUUAGCUGAGUUUUACAUAACAAACAGGCAACUAUGUGUUAAUCAUUCCCAUCAUUAACAAUUAUAUAAUGACAUCGUCAAAAAAUUCCAGCUAUGAAAUACAAGCAGAAACUCCAAUAUGUUUAUUUGUUCAUAUUACUUAAUAAAGUUGUCUGGUUAAUACAGUUGCAUUAAGUUAAGAAGAAAAAUCAUAAGAACAGAAAGCAGUUUCAGUUAAGACUGCCAAAAUGCAGUUAAGAGUAUCAUAAAGGUUUCAGGGGUGUGAGAAUGACUUGGUUGUACUAUUUUUAGAAUGAGGUGCUAAUCAAUGGCCUCUUAAGUUUUAUAUACUCUUACAUUUCUCUUUUUAACCACAUAAAGAAAAUGGUACCAGCAGGCAACCUUUUAAAAACGUCUCGAGACCAUGAAGAAUCAAAUACUCCAUGAUAACUGUCAGGUCUCCCUAUGGUGAGCUAAGAAAUGGUCUGCAUGACCUGGAAGUACUGGGCCACGAAACCCUAUUUCUGUGAAGUGUAUUGGAGAGGCAAGGAAAAGAGCCAGCAUUGCAUUCUCUGUAAGACUCAAGUAAAUACGUUAAGUCUCGUGACCUGACUGGGGCCUGAAUUUUUCCUGCUAGUCUACUUUGCAAUGACUCUUCACAUCCAUCAAAGCCUGUUCCAGCAGCUGGAGUGUCUGCUCUUGCUUUUGGUUCAGAUCCUUCCCUUUACACAAAGAUCUACAAUGAAGUGAUAAUCUGGAGAUUCUGCAAGCAGCAGGAAGCAAGCAUUCUGCAGCAUUAGGAAACUUUAUAACUUCCGUGGGUUUUUUGUUUGUUUUUUUUUUUAAUAUUGUGACGAAAUGGAAAAACGAAGACAUAGAUAUAAUGAAAUAAUCCACUUCACUUGGUUGAACAUGCUUCCUAUUUUUGGUCAAUUCUAUGCUUUUUCUGUUUGUACUUUCAGAACAAAUACAAAUGAAGUACUUUUGAAAAAAUGAAGAAUUAUUUAUGUUAACAAACUCUAUAUAGUUGCUGAAAACAAAAAACCCAAUCAGUAACAAACCUACUACUUGAACCCAAGUACAGUUUAUGUGCCCAAAAACUAAUUCAUGUGGCCAAUUUUCCUGCUAUAUCAGAAACAUAUUAUCAAGGGCCUCAGUCUCUGUGGGGACCAACAUAAGAAGCAAGUGAACUACAAAGCACAACAGAAGAGUUAAAGAUCCCAUGAAGACUACUAGAAUCUUCACCAUUACCACUGUUGUUUUUAUGCAGAGGCUGAUUAAAAUACAACAAGCAGUGAUUAUCAUCUAUAUGAACACCAAAAUUAGACUCACUGAGUCCUCUGUCUUGGCUGAGUCUAAGGUUAAAUUUGCAAUAAAGAGCUUGUCUGUA